ensembl:lncRNA
GUGGUUUGGAACAGGGCAGGGAUGGAGGGAAGGUCCUUGUAUCUUAGACAUCAAAAUCCCAGGAAAAUAAUUAGGAGGUGUUUGGGAUUCUGCUGAAAACUCUGACAACAGACCAGAAAUAUCUCCAAGAGCACCAGCAACCCCAGCUAUCUAGACCCGAAGUGGAUAUACUCAGAGGCAUCCUGGCCUACCCCACCCCUGACCCCAGAGAAGAUGCUGCUGCCCUCAGAAGACGCCAGAGCCAGCCACACUGCAAGUCUGGGAGGAUCGAGCAAGGCAGGCUGCUCAGUGAAGGCUUCCUCUCCUGUAGCAGGAAGAGCAUCGUUAAGAACAAGUAUGCAGGGCUGGACUACUCUGGAGAUGUAAUGACCAGAGCUGAGACCCCCGAGACCAGAGUGACUAUGAAGGACUGUCGUCACCUUGUUCCUGAACAUCUAAUGCCUCUCAGCUCCAGGAGGCCACUGAGGAGAAACCGAAGGCUAGUUUUCCUUGGAAGCCAGCAGCCUGUCCACCUGUUCCACUUCCCUGCCUCUUGCAGCCUCCGCUCAAACACUACCAUGGUUUGGGAGCACGGAAAAACUAGAAAAUACAGAAAUAUAUCAAGAAGAAAGAAAUUUAAAAAUCAACCUGAAUCCCACCAACCAGAGACAGCUAUUAAUGAUUGUGGUAUAUUUAUUCAGGUUGGACUUUAUAUCAAAGCUAUUCUGAUGUCACCUUUCCCAAUGUUAAGGAUGUUAAUGAGAAUUGCUAAUCCAAGAGAAGCAAAUAAUCGCAUCUGAUUUGGGCCCAUGGCAUGGAUGGCACCGACAAUCGAGGCAGGCAGUGCUGGUGGAUACACCUAGGAGGUCCUGUUGGAAGAGGACCAUUCGUGUGCAGAAACGAGGAAAUAGACAUGUAUGAGCUGGAAGAAAAUCUUAUCCGUCUGAUUCAAUUCCCUCAUUUCACAGGUAAGGAAAAUUGGCCCCAAAGAAUGAAGUGGGGAUGUCCUGAGGUCAUGAGGCUGGUUUAUAGCAAGGAUCUGGAUCAGACAGCAGGGUGUGACCCUCAGCUCUCCCUGUACUUGCUGCUUGACAUUGGAUAGGUUAUUCAGCCCUAUAUGUUUUCUCAUAAAUACAUAGAGCUUACAUACAAAUGGUGGGAGAACUUGCAUAUAGUAAGCUCUCAAUAGAUAUUAAUAAUACUGGCCACGAGCAGUGGCUCACACCUGUAAUACCAGCACUUUGGGAGGCUGAGGUGGGUGGAUCCCUUGACGUCGGGAGUUGGUGAAACCUGGUCUCUACUAAAAAUACAAAAAAUUAGCCGGGCAUGGUGGUGGGCACCUAUAAUCCCAGCUACUCAGGAGGCUGAGACGAGAAUCACUUGAACCUAGAAGGCGGAGUUUGCAGUGAGCCUAGAUUGUGCCACUGCACUCCAGCUCAGGUGACAGUACCAGACUCCAUCUCAAAAAAAAAAAAAAAGAAUAAUACAGAGUGUUUGUGUUGGCACUGUUCUCUUUUAUAGCCAGAAAGAGAGAGAGAAAGGAAGAUUACAGAAAAGAAAAAUAUUAAAAUAUUAAAAACAUAAUACUGCAAAUUAAUAAUAUAUUAAUUCAAUAUAUUAUUAUAUCAAAAACCAGGAUACUAUUAAUUAAUAUUAUAUGAAAAACCACCAUACACAUUGGUAAAACAUUAACAUUUUCAAAUCUCCAAUCCAAGAAUUUCUCCCAAAUCCAGAUUGUGCAGGUAUUUUAGUGAAUGAUUCACCUCACAGCAUUAUUUAUUACAUUUUUGUUUAAACUUCGCUGGAUUUGUAGUUGAAUGAGGGGUCAGGUAAUCACCAGACAUCUUGAAAAGGCCACAGCUAAGAUUUUAAUAAAGGCUCCCUCAGGCCUUUUCUUGGAGAAAGUUUAAAGAAACCUCUUCCCUCCCAUCAGAGAGGCCAACCAGGAGUUCCUUUAUGUUGACAGUGAAGGUAUUUGGGGCUACACCUCUUUGAAGUGCUCUGCUACCAGCAGUAAAAGUCAGGCCCUGGCACAGGACACACCUGAUCUGUUUGGUGUGAGUGAGUGCUGAGUCAAUAGCCUGCAGUUAAGGCCAGUGGGUGGGAGGAGGCCUGGUCCCUGCCUCUCCUUGCUUUGCCUCACCCCACCCAAACGCAGGUCAUGUUCAUCAUCUGCUAGCCAGCAAGGAAGAUGUGUGGGGUACAGGUUACAGGGACUGAGCCUGGAGCCUGACUCUCUGGGCUCUACCACUUGCUUUCUUCAUUUCUGAAGGCAAAGAACUCGACCUCUCUGAGCCUCCAUUUCUUCAUCCAUAAAAUGGGGAUAAUGAUAAAAGUGACUGCUUCAUAGGAAUGUUGAGAGGAUCAACUCAAGUAACAG